ACGAACGCUGGCGGCGUGCCUAAUACAUGCAAGUAGAACGCUGAAGAGAGGAGCUUGCUCUUCUUGGAUGAGUUGCGAACGGGUGAGUAACGCGUAGGUAACCUGCCUUGUAGCGGGGGAUAACUAUUGGAAACGAUAGCUAAUACCGCAUAACAAUGGAUGACACAUGUCAUUUAUUUGAAAGGGGCAAUUGCUCCACUACAAGAUGGACCUGCGUUGUAUUAGCUAGUAGGUGAGGUAAUGGCUCACCUAGGCGACGAUACAUAGCCGACCUGAGAGGGUGAUCGGCCACACUGGGACUGAGACACGGCCCAGACUCCUACGGGAGGCAGCAGUAGGGAAUCUUCGGCAAUGGGGGCAACCCUGACCGAGCAACGCCGCGUGAGUGAAGAAGGUUUUCGGAUCGUAAAGCUCUGUUGUAAGUCAAGAACGGGUGUGAGAGUGGAAAGUUCACACUGUGACGGUAGCUUACCAGAAAGGGACGGCUAACUACGUGCCAGCAGCCGCGGUAAUACGUAGGUCCCGAGCGUUGUCCGGAUUUAUUGGGCGUAAAGCGAGCGCAGGCGGUUUGAUAAGUCUGAAGUUAAAGGCUGUGGCUCAACCAUAGUUCGCUUUGGAAACUGUCAAACUUGAGUGCAGAAGGGGAGAGUGGAAUUCCAUGUGUAGCGGUGAAAUGCGUAGAUAUAUGGAGGAACACCGGUGGCGAAAGCGGCUCUCUGGUCUGUAACUGACGCUGAGGCUCGAAAGCGUGGGGAGCGAACAGGAUUAGAUACCCUGGUAGUCCACGCCGUAAACGAUGAGUGCUAGGUGUUGGAUCCUUUCCGGGAUUCAGUGCCGCAGCUAACGCAUUAAGCACUCCGCCUGGGGAGUACGACCGCAAGGUUGAAACUCAAAGGAAUUGACGGGGGCCCGCACAAGCGGUGGAGCAUGUGGUUUAAUUCGAAGCAACGCGAAGAACCUUACCAGGUCUUGACAUCCCGAUGCUGUUUCUAGAGAUAGAAAGUUACUUCGGUACAUCGGUGACAGGUGGUGCAUGGUUGUCGUCAGCUCGUGUCGUGAGAUGUUGGGUUAAGUCCCGCAACGAGCGCAACCCCUAUUGUUAGUUGCCAUCAUUCAGUUGGGCACUCUAGCGAGACUGCCGGUAAUAAACCGGAGGAAGGUGGGGAUGACGUCAAAUCAUCAUGCCCCUUAUGACCUGGGCUACACACGUGCUACAAUGGUUGGUACAACGAGUUGCGAGUCGGUGACGGCGAGCUAAUCUCUUAAAGCCAAUCUCAGUUCGGAUUGUAGGCUGCAACUCGCCUACAUGAAGUCGGAAUCGCUAGUAAUCGCGGAUCAGCACGCCGCGGUGAAUACGUUCCCGGGCCUUGUACACACCGCCCGUCACACCACGAGAGUUUGUAACACCCGAAGUCGGUGAGGUAACCUUUUGGAGCCAGCCGCCUAAGGUGGGACAGAUGAUUGGGGUG
rnacentral:rRNA from 1 species